rnacentral:rRNA from 1 species
CCUACUCUUGACAUCCAGAGAAUUUGCUAGAGAUAGCUUAGUGCCUUCGGGAACUCUGAGACAGGUGCUGCAUGGCUGUCGUCAGCUCGUGUUGUGAAAUGUUGGGUUAAGUCCCGCAACGAGCGCAACCCUUAUCCUUUGUUGCCAGCACGUAAUGGUGGGAACUCAAAGGAGACUGCCGGUGAUAAACCGGAGGAAGGUGGGGAUGACGUCAAGUCAUCAUGGCCCUUACGAGUAGGGCUACACACGUGCUACAAUGGCAUAUACAAAGAGAAGCGAACUCGCGAGAGCAAGCGGACCUCAUAAAGUAUGUCGUAGUCCGGAUCGGAGUCUGCAACUCGACUCCGUGAAGUCGAAAUCGCUAGUAAUCGUAGAUCAGAAUGCUACGGUGAAUACGUUCCCGGGUCUUGUACACACCGAAUCGGAUCCCGGGCC